GCACUUCCGUGUGGCCAGCCCCGAGGACUAUGUGUCCUGAGGACUUCACGCUGUUAUGGAGUUCAGCUUUUCUUGCUGCUCUCACAUCCCUCCUAAGAAUUGUAUAAAAACUCUAAGGGGCCUCCUCCCUGGAAGGCAUCUCUGACACCACAAUAACAGUGCUGGAUCUCGUUCAGGCAUUGCUGCUGGAGCGGAUUAAUGAUUCACUACACACCCUAGGAAAGAACUUAGAGCUGUAGAUUGUCACCAAUGACUGUGACUCUUAGGAAACAUUUGGAAAAAUUAAGUUGUUGGUGAAGCUAGGUGGAGGUGUUUUUAGUACUGGCUCUUGUACAGAAAAUCAUGUACAAUCUGAAGUUCAGAAAGGCACACUCUUACUCAUUAAGCUAGGGACCCUUUAUGGUCAGGGAACAAAAACAAUGGCAGCACUGGCUGAUGUGACUCUCACUGAGGCUGGACUGGUGAGGACUGAUUUCUUAUCCCCAUGUUUGCCCUCAGCUUCCCGGUAUGAUUUAUUAAGGAUCGCUGAUGAGUAGAUAUGCAUUCUAAGGAUUUAAGGGAAGCCAUGGCAGAGGGAUGUAAGGCAGCUGGUCACGCCGCCUCUGCAGUCAGGAUCUGCAUCUGCAUCUAGAAGAGUGCUAGCACUCAGCCUUGCCUUCUCACUCCUGGGCUCUUAGCCCGAAGAAUGGUGCUGCCCACAUUCACGCUGUGCCGACUAGAAUUUUCCAGAAGACUGGGUGCCAGAUGUUACAAAAAGAGCCCUUCCUCUGAAUUACAAACUCCACAUACUUCCUGUGAGAGAAGGCGACAGAAGACUCUGGCUCCAGAACAUCUCUGGCUUCCUGUGUCCCUCAAACAUGUCCCUAGCAUGGUGCUGUCUGCUGUGAAGCCUCACAGCUGGUGUUCCUUACCAGAGGCCAAACAGAUGAGGCUGCCUAAUACUGGGACCCUCAAUUCACCAACCUGUGACCUAAAUAAAUCUUUUUUCUUAUAAAGAACAGACAGAGCCUCAGGUUUUAUA
rnacentral:sRNA from 1 species